UAGUCUAGACAGGGCAGGGAUAGAGAUGAAGAUCUUGGCUUGGAAUUUAAGAUUAUGGGAAUUUUUAACAUCCAUAUAUAGGUAUGUCUAUGGACUGUUUGUGUUACUUAUGACAAUUACUGGCAUGGCUUCAGAUUUAGAUAAUCUCUAUUUCUCUUUUAUGUAAAAUUGUAAUUCUUAGCCCAAAGUGACUGAAUUUUUGCUUUUGAGAACACCAUUACUAUAAGUAGGAAAUCAAGAAAGUUAUUAAAUGGCCUUUGUCUUUUAGGUAAGUAUUUUGCUUUUUAUAAUCAGUGCGAAAAUACAUCAGGUUUUAUUAAGCAGCUACCUCUAUUUAAGGAUUUCCCAUUUCCUUUCCCAGAAGACUGAAUUAUUCAAGGAAAAGAAUGUUUUAUGCUGUUUUAUAUCCCAUGCAUAGGACAUGUGCUGACCACAUAUUAAAAAGGGAAGUUCGUGGGGGCUAUGAGGAUGCAAAGGCAUAAGAAUGAUAUCAUGGAUUUUGGGGGCUCAGGAGGAAGGAUGUAAAGGGGUGAGAGAUAGAACACUACACAUUGGGUGCAGUGUACACUGCUCAGGUGAUGGGUGCACCAAAAUCUCAGAAACCACCACUAAAGAACUUCUCCAGUUCCCCCACAACUAUUGAAAUAAAGAGAAAAGAAAAGGGAAGUUCUUGCUGUAUUACAAGGCUGACCAUGAGUUAGUUUGGUUAAGGAAGAUUUUAGUUAUCCUUGCUAUUUACAUUGCAUUUGUGUUUUACAAUAAUUGAAUAUGAAGAAAUAAAGACUAGAUGAAUGUGUUUCAUUGUUUUUAAUCAAAACUGUCAGGCUUGUCAAUAGUCUGUCAUCACUUGGUUUAUAAUAAUUGCUAUUUCUCUCUGGAAAGGCUUAAGCUUUUAAAGUAAGCUAUAUACUGCAAAGUAGAAACUUGAAAUUUUACCUUUUUGGAAAAAAGUUACCCCCGUUAACAGUAUUUUCCCCCAAAACCGCAUUUAGAUCAUUUGUUUGGGACUUGGAAUGCAUCUCCCAAUAGAAACAAUGAUGUUCAUGGUGAUUAGGCUUUUAGCUGGCCCACAAACACGGUAUCAUGCCUCAAAAUACCAUAGUACCAGUAGUGAUACGUAAUGCUCUAAGCUAAUAAUGAGCCACUAUAUUUGAUGAUUUUUUUUUUUUAAAGAACGGUAUUCAGAGUCUUGACUUGUGGGACCUGGGAUGUACCCCAUUUGGCUGCAGCUCUGAAAGUCAUAUUGCCAGGUGGGAAAGCAAAGCAGAAUCUCUUAGCUCCCGGUCCCUGAAGGAGGUAUCUGCUGUUUAGGACCAUUCCCUCUGCGGCUGCAGCCCCAGCCUCCCACCGGCCUGCUUCCCUUUCUGUUUACUUGCUGCCUUGCCUCAAAACAGUUUGUUCUUCAACUCACUUUCAGAAAAAGCCUCACAGUUUCCCUUUUAUCUGGUGUUGAAGAGAUUCUGAGGUUUUUACUAAGGUUUUUGACAAUAAGGAGAGGCAGAUGAGAAGCACCCCUUUCCAUCACCACUAGACACACACACAGCUUUAAGAGUGCUUAGGUGACACUGAUGGUUCCCUAAACGCAUCACUGGAUAAAAGCAUCUCCAUGUGCAGAUUUAACGAGCUCCUGUAACAUUUUGUUCUUGGUUUCCUUAGUGCGGGAUGUUCUGUGGGGUAAAUCGGCUCUGAGGUUGCUGCCUACGGGAUUACACUAGGGCUGAACAAAUGACUAGUGAAAGUGCAGAGCAGUCCCCAAGGAUUUAUUUUCAUCCGUUCCUUCUUGCCCCGACUGGCCCCUGGCUAUCACAGACCUAGGUAUCUUAUGAAGUGAAUUCGGCUCCCACUUGGAGAUCCCAGGUCCCAGUGGUAUCUGCAAUCAUGAGAGCAUAACAAAAUCCCUCUUCUCUUCUGUAUCUGGGGUGUGUGUGUGUGUGUGUGUGUGUGUGUGUGUCUUAUAUGGAUGUUGGGUUUACUGUGUUAAAAUCUUAUGUAGGCCACAGAAUAAGACUAAUUAAGGCCACAGAAUAAGACUAUACUUAAGUCCUGAAAUGAAUAGACCUUACUAAUGUUAAUCACCUGAGAAAGUGGUACGUUCUUAAAGAGGACUAGGUGGGUGUGAGAACCUACCUCUCUCACCCUCUCUCUCCCCCUACCCCUUUUCUUUCUUCUCUCUCUCCCUCCACAGUGGGCAGGGGUUACAGAUAACCUCUGCCUCACAGAAGUGGACUACAGGUCACGCAGUCAUCUUUGUAGGAGCACCUGAACCAGAGAUGAGAACAAUGCCGCACACAUCAUUUCCUGAAAUAAUGGAGUUGGAAGGCAAUUAUCUACUCACAAAACAGGCUGAAACAACAGUUCCUGAUAUUCUUCUCAAAUACUUUAACUUCCCAAGGAAUCCGGAAAAAAUAAUUCCAUGAGACAGUGUUGUGAAUGAAGGAAGGCUGUGGAGUGAGAUAAAGCAGGAUUGCACUAUGGAGGACAAACAUCUCGGCAUCCAGUACACUUCAAAAUGUUUCUUUUUUUUGUUUUCAAGACUGGCUGCUAUUUCCUCCAUGCCUCUUGUUUAUUAGCGUGUUGACUCAUCUAGAGCCCAGCGCCUUGUUCCACACCAGAGAGAUGGACUUGUGCCUCUGCCAAGUGGCGUCGGCUCGAGAGAUAACAGCCAGCGACAACAAUGGUCUUCCUCAGUCCCUCGGCCAAAAAAACCUUUGGCACACUGGGCUGAGAAUAACUUAUCAUCAGUGCCCUGGAAGGCUCUGAAGUUCUGGGAGCACGGAGUGGUUGUUUGCCAGACAGAGAUAACAGGCAGGAUGCCGCAGAGAGCCAGACGUGCUCCGAACUCGGGCCCCACCUGGCAGACGCAGAAAAGGAAAAAGGGAUGAAGCAGCCAAUUAGCACAUGGUUUCCUGGUUGCCCAGUCCAUGCUGUCAACACCAUCCAACAUUCUGAGGUUUGCCAAAAGGAUCUCGUUUACUCCUGGGUCACGUAAAGAGUACUUAACUUUUCCCCCCACUCCUUGCCGUCAUCUUAACAGUACUUAACUUUUUUUAAAAAACUAAUGCAAUCAACUCAUCUUGAAGAGUUUGCUCACUUUCCAUUGCUCUUGGGAAAAAAAAUGCAUGAUUAUCUGACAGGAUGAGGGUUUGAUUGUCACAUAAAUCAUUCUCUCGAUGGUUGACACAUCCUUGACUGUCAAAGGAUGGCGUUGAUAACCUAGAGAGGCAAUUGAGAAUAGCCUAGGACUGGACCUGCUUGUUUUGAGCUGCCUAAAGAGCCUCUGAAACUAGUGUUAACUGUUCCACUCACUAACCUUGCCUUUAUGAGGUAGGAGGUGGGGCUCAACUCUGGAGACGGGGCUCAGACACUGGACCAAAUUAAGGACUAGCUAAAACAGGACCAGGGUGGAAGCAGCUUUCCGUAAGGCGUGCCCACCAGUGUGCCAUGUCAGUUUACCAUUGCCAUGUCAACACCCGGGCAUUAUCGCUCCUUUCCAUGGCAAUGAUCUGAUGACCCAAAAGUUACUACCCCUUUCCUAGAAAUUUCUGCAUAAACCAUCCCUUAGUCUGUAUAUAAUUAAAAGUGGGUAUAAAUACGACUGCAAAGCUGCCGUGAGCUGCUCCUCUCUGCUUAUGGGGUUGCCCAGAUCUGCAGGAGCAGUCAUGGAGGUAUAACACUGCUGCUUCAGUUAAGCUGUUUUUGUCUACCUCCAGCAGGCCCUUGAAUUCUGUCCUGGGCAAAGCCAAGAACCCUCGUGGGCUAAGUCCCACUUUGGGGCUCACCUGCCCUGCACCAUUCAGAUGUAGAGAUGGCUACACUGCUUUGCAGGCUUCUUUAGCCCAAGUCAUUAGAUGCACAGGUAGCCAUCACCUUUGAAAGAUUCUGUUGUAAACUUGUGAUAAAAAUGCCUUUCAUGGUCUCAUAGACAUUUUUUAUAAUAACUAAAAUAGUGAUUGUUUUCAUUACAAGCUCAGUAUUGUACUAUAAAUCACUUAACUGCUGAAGUACAAUGUAAGUCCUGAAUGGCAAUGUCAGUGUUAUUAACCAUUAUUAACUCAAGGACAGUGGGGAGUAAGGAAGAUGAGUUCUGUUUCAUCAUUUUCCAAAGUCACAGAGCUUGUUCUUCAACAGUGACUCAAAGCAAAUGCCAUAGCCUGCUUUGUUAUAAGAAUUUUGAUACAUAGUUAAUAUUUACAUAAUGACUUACAAUUCAACAUGAAAGCUCCCAUGUCAGUACUAAGUAACUUAAUUACACCAUGUAUAAAUACAGUACUGUCGGCCCUCCCUACCCUUAGGCUUCCCAUCUGCAGAUUCAACCAACUGUGGAUCAAAAAUAUUCAGAAAAGGCCAGGCGCAGUGGCUCAUGCCUGUAAUCCCAGCACUUUGGGAGGCCGAGGUGAGCGAAUCACGAGGUCAGGAGUUCAAGACCAACCUGGCCUACACGGUGAAACCUUGUCUUACUAAAAAUACAAAAAUUAGCCUGGCAUGGUGAUGCGUGCCUGUAAUCCCAGCUACUUGGGAGGCUGAGGCAGGAGAAUUUCUUGAACCCGGGAGGUGGAGGUUGCAGUAAGCUGAGAUUGCGCCAUUGCAUUCCAGCCUGGGCGACAGAGCAAGACUCUGUCUGGAG